rnacentral:rRNA from 1 species
CCUACGGGAGGCAGCAGUGAGGAAUAUUGGUCAAUGGACGAGAGUCUGAACCAGCCAAGUAGCGUGAAGGAUGACUGCCCUAUGGGUUGUAAACUUCUUUUAUAUGGGAAUAAAAUGUUCCACGUGUGGGAUUUUGUAUGUACCAUAUGAAUAAGGAUCGGCUAACUCCGUGCCAGCAGCCGCGGUAAUACGGAGGAUCCGAGCGUUAUCCGGAUUUAUUGGGUUUAAAGGGAGCGUAGGUGGAUUGUUAAGUCAGUUGUGAAAGUUUGCGGCUCAACCGUAAAAUUGCAGUUGAAACUGGCAGUCUUGAGUACAGUAGAGGUGGGCGGAAUUCGUGGGGUAGCGGUGAAAUGCUUAGAUAUCACGAAGAACUCCGAUUGCGAAGGCAGUUCACUGGACUGCAACUGACACUGAGGCUCGAAAGUGUGGGUAUCAAACAGGAUUAGAUACCCCUGUAGAC